rnacentral:rRNA from 1 species
CCCGCUCAGAAACUACAAAGGAAUUGACGGGGACCCGCACAAGCAGCGGAGCAUGUGGUUUAAUUCGAAGCAACGCGAAGAACCUUACCAGAUCUUGACAUCCAAUUGACCAUCUUUUAAUCGAGAUUUUGCCUUCGGGUACAAUUGAGACAGGUGCUGCAUGGCUGUCGUCAGCUCGUGUCGUGAGAUGUUGGGUUAAGUCCCGCAACGAGCGCAACCCUUGCCUUUAGUUGCCAGCAGUUCGGCUGGGCACUCUAAAGGGACUGCCGGUGUUAAACCGGAGGAAGGUGGGGAUGACGUCAAAUCAUCAUGCCCCUUAUGACCUGGGCUACAAACGUGAUACAAUGGCUGGAACAAAGGGAUGCGAAGCAGUGAUGUGGAGCGAAACCCAUAAAAACAGUCUCAGUUCGGAUUGAAGUCUGCAACUCGACUUCAUGAAGUCGGAAUCGCUAGUAAUCGCGGAUCAGAACGCCGCGGUGAAUACGUUCUCGGGGUUU